GUGCUCUCUUCGGCAGCCUAUGUACUAAAUUUGGAAUGAUACAGAGAAGAUUGGCAUAGACCCUGUGCAAGGAUGAUGUGCAGAUUUGUGAAAUCUUCCAUAUUAAA
rnacentral:snRNA from 1 species